rnacentral:rRNA from 1 species
CUCGCAAGAGCAAAGCAGGGGGACCUUCGGGCCUUGCGCUACCGGAUAUGCCCAGGUGGGAUUUAGCUAGUUGGUGAGGUAAGGGCUCACCAAGGCGACGAUCCCUAGCUGGUCUGAGAGGAUGAUCAGCCACACUGGAACUGAGACACGGUCCAGACUCCUACGGGAGGCAGCAGUGGGGAAGUAUUGCACAAUGGGCGCAAGCCUGAUGCAGCCAUGCCGCGUGUAUGAAGAAGGCCUUCGGGUU